rnacentral:rRNA from 2 species
UAGUGGCAGACGGGUGAGUAACGCGUGGGAAGCUACCUUGUGGUAGGGGACAACAGUUGGAAACGACUGCUAAUACCCUAUGAGCCCUAUGGGGGAAAGAUUUAUCGCCAUGAGAUGUGCCCGCGUUAGAUUAGCUAGUUGGUAAGGUAAUGGCUUACCAAGGCGACGAUCUAUAGCUGGUCUGAGAGGAUGAUCAGCCACACUGGGACUGAGACACGGCCCAGACUCCUACGGGAGGCAGCAGUGGGGAAUAUUGGACAAUGGGGGCAACCCUGAUCCAGCCAUGCCGCGUGUGUGAUGACGGCCUUAGGGUUGUAAAGCACUUUCAGCAGUGAAGAUAAUGACAUUAACUGCAGAAGAAGCCCCGGCUAACUUCGUGCCAGCAGCCGCGGUAAUACGAAGGGGGCUAGCGUUGUUCGGAAUCACUGGGCGUAAAGAGUACGUAGGCGGACUGAUAAGUUAGGGGUGAAAUCCCAAGGCUCAACCUUGGAACUGCCUUUGAUACUGUCAGUCUUGAGAUCGAGAGAGGUGAGUGGAACUCCGAGUGUAGAGGUGAAAUUCGUAGAUAUUCGGAAGAACACCAGUGGCGAAGGCGGCUCACUGGCUCGAUACUGACGCU